GGGAUGGUAGCUCAACCGGAUAGAGCAGGCGCCAGAUAAGCGUCAGGUUGCUGGUUCAAAUCCAGCCCAUCCCA
rnacentral:tRNA from 1 species